UAUAAGUUAAGCAAUUGAAUGAUGUGAGAGUUCUCUGAAUCAUUCUAAUUUCUUCUACUUAUUAUUAUGCUUCCACUAUGAAUUUCAAUCUUUAGUUUCUUCUAAGAAACUCAGAGAAUAUAUGAGAUUAGAUUUCCAAAAGGAAAAAUAAUAAUAACAAUCAAAAAUUCAAAAUAAAAGCAGUUUUCUUCAUCUACAAAAGGAAGGUCAUUAUGAGAUUCAUACCUGUUGAGGGACAUUUUCUGAUCAUAUUUUAGGUACACUCAUAAUAAGGUAA